GACGAACGCUGGCGGCGUGCUUAACACAUGCAAGUCGAACGGAAAGGCCCUGCUUUUGUGGGGUGCUCGAGUGGCGAACGGGUGAGUAACACGUGAGUAACCUGCCCUUGACUUUGGGAUAACUUCAGGAAACUGGGGCUAAUACCGGAUAGGAGCUCCUGCUGCAUGGUGGGGGUUGGAAAGUUUCGGCGGUUGGGGAUGGACUCGCGGCUUAUCAGCUUGUUGGUGGGGUAGUGGCUUACCAAGGCUUUGACGGGUAGCCGGCCUGAGAGGGUGACCGGCCACAUGAGGACUGAGAGACGGCCCAGACUCGUACGGGCAGCAGCAGUCGGAAAUAUUGCACACUGGGCGGAAGCCAGAUGCAGCAACGCCGCGUGCGGAAUAACGGGCUUCGGGUUGUAAACCGCUUUCGCCUGUGACGAAGCGUGAGUGACGGUAAUGGGUAAAGAAGCACCGGCUAACUACGUG
rnacentral:rRNA from 1 species